AUGCUUAUUGUCGUUAUUAUUAUUAUUAUUAUUAUCAUUAUCAUUAUUCCCCUGCCUCUCCCCCCAGCGCUUAGAGCAGCGCCGUGCAGCUCGCAAGGGGUUAAGGAACGGCCAGGCGGUUACUAUGGUUACAGGGCAGUCGUUGCCUCGGCGCGUGUGCGUCCGCGAAAGGCGUCCGGCGGGAGGGGGGGGGGGGGGGGUGCGGCGCGGUGCGCGUUCCCGGCCGGAAGGGGAAAAGGGCGGACCCGCCGCCUCCCUCCUCCCCUCCCCGCCCGCGGCGCCGCCCGCACUUCCGCUUCCGCCCGCCGCGUGACGCCGCCAGACCCACCUCCCCCCCCCCCCCCCCCCCCAGCGGCCCAGCAGCAGCAGCAGCAGCAGGAGGAGGAGCAGGAGCGGUGGGUCUGCAACCCCGGGCGGGGUGGGGGGGGGGGGAGGAGGAGGAGGAGGAGGAGGGAGAAAGAGGGGGGAGGAAGGGGGGAGAGGAGGGGGGAGGAAAAGGAGGAGGGAGAAAGAGGGAGGGAGGAAGAGGGGGAGAGAAGAGGAGGGGGGAGGAAGGGGAGGGGGGGGGAGGGAGGAGAGAGAGAGAAGGGAAGAAGGGGGAGGAGGGAGGAAGAGGAGGAGGGAGGAGGAAGACGGGAGGGGGAGGAAGAGGAGGAGGGAGAGAGAAGGGGGGAGGGGGAGGGGGAAGAAGAGGGGGGGAGGAGGGGGAGGAAGGGGAGGGAGGAGAGAGAGAAGGGAAGAAGGGGGAGGAGGGAGGAGGAGGGAGGAGAGAAGGGGGGAGGAGGAGGGAGGAGGAGGAGGAAGGAGGAGGAGGGAGGAGAGAAGGAGGGAGGAGAGAAGGGGGGAGGAAGACGGGAGGGGGAGGAAGAGGAGGAGGGGAGAGAGAAGGGGGGAGGAGGAGGGGGAAGAAGAGGGGGAGGAGGGGGAGGAAGGGGAGGAGGAGAGAGAGAAGGGAAGAAGGGGGAGGAGGGAGGAGGAGGGAGGAGAGAAGGGGGGAGGAGGAGGGAGGAAGGAGGAGGAGGGAGGAGAGAAGGAGAGAGGAGAGAAGGGGGGAGGAAGACGGGAGGGGGAGGAAGAGGAGGAGGGGAGAGAGAAGGGGGGAGGGGGAGGGGGAAAUUAGCGAGGAAGAGGGGGGAGAGAGCGCUUAGUCCAGUAGCGCUUAGUACAGGGCUCUGCACAUAG
rnacentral:lncRNA from 1 species